AUGAACUUUCGUGUUGGUGCUAUUAGCGACCCAAAGCAACAGAUGAAUUCAAAUAGUCAUGUUAUAUUUUUUUUCCAUGAUUGUCAUCAGUUUUUGCAAUGUAACAAAAGACACCCAAGCGUCCGGUUCCUCCCGGUGCGAGCCCAGCAGGAGGUGAAAGAGGAGGAGCCCACGGGCCGCGGCAACGGUGCCGCCGCUGCAGGAGGACCGCUGGCGGAGAGCAAGAACAUGGGGCGGGAGUACGGCAGCCAGUGGCUGAGCUGCACGACGCGGCACGUGCGUAUCUACGACGCGUACAUCCACAUGGAGACCAACGCCUUCGACCAGACGCAGACGGACAAGCUCACGCUCAUGGUUCGUCUGGACCGACGAGACCUACCAGAUGGUCUACAACGAGUUCCAGGACCUCGUCGACCACUACAAGCUCCACUGUCGGAGUACACGCUUCGUCUGAUCGGCUCAGAUCUUGAGCACUACAUCCGCAAGCUGCUCUAUGACGGGGAGAUCAAGUACAACAUGAGAUCCAGAGUGCUCAACUUCAGCAUGGGCAAACCCCGCGUCAAAUUCAACAGCAGCCAGAUCCCUGAUGUGAAAUAG
rnacentral:rRNA from 1 species